UGGAGAGCUUGUGUGAUUAGGGGUGGUCAGGGUGAGGAGCUUGCUGAAGCAACAGGCUGAGCGUUCCCCGUGUGGCAUAUUCUGAACGCACAAGACGAGUCUGUGCCAGCUGCUGCUCAGAUUCUGGCUAACCCAGCUCGUGUGCAGGCCUGAUGGAAACUGAGAGGAGCAUCGCUGGAUCAAAGUGAGAGCAGUAGGGAAGCAAAAGAGGUGGCCAGAACGAGCUGAAGGGCUACAAUGGAGCUGCUGUCCCCUGCAACCAGCAUCUUUAUGUAUCAGGUGUUGAGUGUUUUGACUUUUGGGAAUAACAUCUACCCAAGAUCCAAGCUGGAGGAGGUCAAGCACUGCCUCAUCCAAAAAGGCUUUGACAUGGAUCCAGCAGCAGCCAGGCUCAGGCUUUGUGUGUCCCAGAGCAUUGCAGGGGACAGAAGAGGAAUUGUGAGCCCUCUCAUCCUUGGCUGGGGAGUUCUUAGCUCCAUCAUUUAAGAGGUGUGGGUUGUAAGUUAUGGAACCUCAUGCCUCGAGUGGUAAAUGAAUUCACAUCAUAGGAUGGUGGAUAAUAACUUGUUUGGUGUGAGGGUUUUCAUUUCUUAAUGAGCUCCCAAAAUGAAGCAUACUUCAGAGAGUAUAUUUUACUUCACAGAGUGUCUUGCCUUGUAAAUAUGAUAGAUCCAAAGGAGUUGUGACACAGCUCUAACAGGUCUCCUUACCCAACUGUGAUAAAGCCUGCACAUGGCCAUGAGUGGUACAGGCUGAGAGGACUCAAAUGGAGAUGCAGCAUGUGUAAGGAUUGCUGCUGUGUGUCUUCUGCUCCCACUGUGCAGGACAGCCCAGAGCUAUGAGUCUGAUCUGCACAGAGGUGCUGCAGCAGCGCAGGGUCUGGCAAUGGGAGAAGAGGGUGGGCACCAGGGAGCAAAGAAGAUAAUUUCAGGACCCCUAAAUCUCUGGGAAAGGUUAAAGCCAAGUCUGAUUUGGGACCUCAAACCCAGUUUGUGCAAUGAAUGUAAAUGAGAAUCAGCUACUGAAUGUCAACCUAACCGCAGAGAAGCCUGUAUGUAGUAAGCCAGUGCCACCAUGGGGACAGCCAUAGGGAGGGCAGCAUGAGUCUUGCUCCAGGCGUGGCCCCAUGGCAUUGCU